rnacentral:rRNA from 1 species
UACGAAGGGGGCGAGCGUUAUUCGGAAUCACUGGGCGUAAAGCGUGCGUAGGCCGUCUAGCAAGUUGGAAGUGAAAGCCCAGGGCUCGAACCCUGGAAUUGCUUCAAAACUGCAAGACUAGAAUCUCGGAGAGGAUAGCGGAAUUCCCAGUGUAGUAGUGAAAUACGUAGAUAUUGGGAGGAACACCAGUGGCGCAAGCGGCUAUCUGGACGAGUAUUGACGCUGAGGCACGAAAGCGUGGGGAUCAAACAGG